rnacentral:piRNA from 1 species
UGCCUUGCACUUUAUCUCCUAGAAGAGC